rnacentral:lncRNA from 1 species
UUAAAUUGAUUUUUAAUUGAUUUAUUGUAAAUAAAUUGUGUUGAGUUAUUUUUGUUGACUUGUUGAGUUUGACUUUUGUUGUUGGGCCUUAGUCAAGGUUGACUUGACUUUGUUGUAUUAAAAUCAUUGAAUUUAGGGGAUUAAUGAAAUGUAUAUUUCAUCUCCCAAACUGAAUGAAUGAUUUUAAUUUGAUAAAAGUUCUCCCAUGACCAAUUUGUGUUUGUC